GGCCGGGUAGCUCAAUUGGUAGAGCAACAGACUGUGGAUCUGUGUGUCGCGGGUUCGAUGCCCGUCCCGGCUA
rnacentral:tRNA from 1 species